UACGAAGGGGGCUAGCGUUGCUCGGAAUCACUGGGCGUAAAGGGUGCGUAGGCGGGUCUUUAAGUCAGGGGUUAAAUCCUGGAGCUCAACUCCAGAACUGCCUUUGAUACUGAAGAUCUUGAGUUCGGGAGAGGUGAGUGGAACUGCGAGUGUAGAGGUGAAAUUCGUAGAUAUUCGCAAGAACACCAGUGGCGAAGGCGGCUCACUGGCCCGAUACUGACGCUGAGGCACGAAAGCGUGGGGAGCAAACAGG
rnacentral:rRNA from 1 species